GUGUAGCUCAGUGGAAGAGCCUCUGCUUUGCAUGCAGAAGGUUCCAGGUUCAAUCCCUGGCAUCUCCA
rnacentral:tRNA from 1 species